rnacentral:misc_RNA from 1 species
GAUGAAGAACGUAGUGAAAUGCGUUACUUGGUGUGAAUUGCAGAAUCCCGUGAACCAUCGAGUCUUUGAACGCAAGUUGCGCCCGAAGCCAUUAGGCCGAGGGCACGCCUGCCUGGGCGUCACACGUCGUUGCCCCCCCAUCUACUCCUUCGGGAUUGCGGGGGGCGGAUGAUGGCCUCCCGUGCGCCUCGUCGCGCGGUUGGCAUAAAUGCCAAGUCCUCGGCGACGCACGCCACGACAAUCGGUGGUUGCGAAACCUCGGUUGCCCGUCGUGUGCGGUCGUCGCGCAUCGAGGGCUCGAAAAAAUUGCCGGGCUCCGGCUCGGCUUUCAACGCGACCCCAGGUCAGGCGGGGUUACCCGCUGAAUUUAAGCAUAUCAAUAAGCGGAGGA